rnacentral:rRNA from 1 species
GAUGAACGCUGGCGGCGUGCCUAAUACAUGCAAGUCGAGCGAACAGACGAGGAGCUUGCUCCUCUGACGUUAGCGGCGGACGGGUGAGUAACACGUGGAUAACCUACCUAUAAGACUGGGAUAACUUCGGGAAACCGGAGCUAAUACCGGAUAAUAUAUUGAACCGCAUGGUUCAAUAGUGAAAGACGGCUUUGCUGUCACUUAUAGAUGGAUCCGCGCCGCAUUAGCUAGUUGGUAAGGUAACGGCUUACCAAGGCGACGAGGCGUAUCCGACCUGAGAGGGUGAUAGGCCACACUGGAGCUGAGACACGGUCCAGACUCCUACGGGAGGCAGCAGUAGGGAAUCUUCCGCAAUGGGCGAAAGCCUGACGGAGCAACGCCGCGUGAGUGAUGAAGGUCUUCGGAUCGUAAAACUCUGUUAUUGGGGAAGAACAAAUGUGUAAGUAACUAUGCACGUCUUGACGGUACCUAAUCAGAAAGCCACGGCUAACUACGUG